rnacentral:rRNA from 1 species
AGUGGCGGACGGGUGAGUAACGCGUGAGAAUCUGCCUUGGGGUCGGGGACAACCACUGGAAACGGUGGCUAAUACCGGAUAAGCCGAUUGGUGAAAGAUUUAUUGCCCGAAGAGGAGCCCGCGUCUGAUUAGCUAGUUGGUGAGGUAAGAGCUCACCAAGGCAGCGAUCAGUAGCUGGUCUGAGAGGACGAUCAGCCACACUGGGACUGAGACACGGCCCAGACUCCUACGGGAGGCAGCAGUGGGGAAUUUUCCGCAAUGGGCGAAAGCCUGACGGAGCAAGACCGCGUGAGGGAGGAAGGCUCUUGGGUUGUAAACCUCUUUUCUCAGGGAAGAAGCUCUGACGGUACCUGAGGAAUCAGCCUCGGCUAACUCCGUGCCAGCAGCCGCGGUAAUACGGAGGAGGCAAGCGUUAUCCGGAAUUAUUGGGCGUAAAGCGUCCGCAGGUGGCGAUUCAAGUCUGCUGUCAAAGCACGGGGCUUAACUCCGUAAAGGCAGUGGAAACUGAAUAGCUAGAGUGCCGUAGGGGUAGAGGGAAUUCCCGGUGUAGCGGUGAAAUGCGUAGAGAUCGGGAAGAACAUCGGUGGCGAAAGCGCUCUACUGGACGGCAACUGACACUCAGGGACGAAAGCUAGGGGAGCGAAUGGGAUUAGAUACCCC